rnacentral:rRNA from 1 species
ACGGCGAGUGAAGCGGGAUUAGCCCAAUAUUAGAAGCUGGUCAGCCUAGCGCUGGUCCCGCGUUGUAUAUUGUUGGGGCGCUACCUAGUAUCAGGCCUUUCGGUUAAAGUUCCUUGGAACAGGACGUCAAAGAGGGUGAAAACCCCGUGGAUAAUCGAAUGACAUACCAGCUUGAUGCGUCUAUGGUGCGCUUCCUUAGAGUCGGAAUGUUUGGGAUUGCAUUCCAAAGUGGGUGGUAAACUCCAUCUAAGGCUAAAUACUGGCGAGAGACCGAUAGCGAACAAGUACCGUGAGGGAAAGUUGAAAAGCACUCUGGAGAGAGAGUCAAACAGUACGUGAAAUUGUUAGCAGGGAAACGUUGGGCACCAGUACGCGGCAAUCAAUAUCGAUGAUCAGUCGGGCAGGUUGAAGAAUUAUUGUGUGGUGUUUACUUUGGAGACUAUCCUCGGAUGGCUCACGCAUUCUCAUUCUUUAAUCUACCGGUGCACUCUUCGGUAGCCGGGUCAACAUCAGUUAAUGACGUUCGAUAAGCUUUUAGGCAAGGUAGCAUCGAUGGGUUCUGCUCAUCUUUGAACUUAUAGGUCUAUUAUGCGAGGAUGUCGUUGACUGAGGCGGCAUUCGGUUCGCGCGCUUCGGCGCAGGGCGUAUGGAUAAGGUCAAGGUCGCCCGUGGUGCUAAGCAGCUUGCUGAUUAGUAUUCAUUUUGUUGUGUUUACACAACAGUGGUGAUCGUCUUGUCUAUACAAGCCACUAGCGAGCC